rnacentral:rRNA from 1 species
AUGGCUCCGCCCGCUUCGCACGCCGGCGCCGCGCUGGUGCGCCUCCCACCCCGCCGCGCGCCGAGCUCCCUGCCGCAGCAAGGUUUUGGCCGCGCCGGAGCCUUGCGGGUGGCCGUGCGUGCCACCAAGGACUCGGACGGGUUCAGACGUCUGGUCUCUGAGAAGCCCGAGUGGCCGGCGCCGGCGCCGGCGAAGCGGGAGGGGCUGGAUGGUUUCGGCCGGGAGGCGAGCAAUGGGGAGGAAGACGGGCAGGUGCAGGGCGAGCUGGCUCCGUGGAGCGUUCUCAACCAGCUGGGCGUCGAGUUGGAUUCUGACAGUUCAUAUACUGCUCUAGUCUAUGGGUCCUCCGCCAUUGUUGCUAUUUGGAUAUCAUCAAUAGUGGUUUCUGCACUUGAAUCAGUCCCCGUGGUUCCUCAGGUGAUGGAAGUGGUUGGCCUCGGCUUCACAGUUUGGUUCACCUCGCGAUAUCUGAUAUUUAAGGAAAACAGGGACGAGUUGAUCAUGAGAAUCAGCUCCAUCAAGAAGCAGGUACUUGGGUCUCGUGACGACUGA